rnacentral:rRNA from 1 species
CAGCCGCCGCGGGAAUACGAAGGGUGCAAGCGUUACUCGGAAUUACUGGGCGUAAAGCGUGCGUAGGUGGUGGUUUAAGUCCGUUGUGAAAGCCCUGGGCUCAACCUGGGAAUUGCAGUGGAUACUGGGUCACUAGAGUGUGGUAGAGGAUAGUGGAAUUUCCGGUGUAGCAGUGAAAUGCGUAGAGAUCGGAAGGAACAUCUGUGGCGAAGGCGACUAUCUGGGCCAACACUGACACUGAGGCACGAAAGCGUGGGGAGCAAACAGGAUUAGAGACCCCGGUAGUCCUGUCUCUUAUACA